GGGCACUUGGCACAGUUGGUAGCGCGCACGCUUCGCAUACUUUCGUUUGCGUGAGGUCAGGAGUUCGACUCUCCUAGUGUCCA